rnacentral:rRNA from 1 species
GACGAACGCUGGCGGCGUGCUUAACACAUGCAAGUCGAACGGUGACCUCGAGAGCUUGCUCUUGAGUGAUCAGUGGCGAACGGGUGAGUAACACGUGAGUAACCUGCCCCAGACUCUGGAAUAACCCCGGGAAACCGGAGCUAAUACCGGAUACGAAGUGGAGCCGCAUGGCUACUACUUGGAAAGUUUUUCGGUCUGGGAUGGACUCGCGGCCUAUCAGCUAGUUGGUGAGGUAACGGCCCACCAAGGCGACGACGGGUAGCCGGCCUGAGAGGGUGACCGGCCACACUGGGACUGAGACACGGCCCAGACUCCUACGGGAGGCAGCAGUGGGGAAUAUUGGACAAUGGGCGAAAGCCUGAUCCAGCAACGCCGCGUGAGGGAUGACGGCCUUCGGGUUGUAAACCUCUUUCAGCAGGGACGAAGCGAAAGUGACGGUACCUGCAGAAGAAGGACCGGCCAACUACGUGCCAGCAGCCGCCGUAACAC